rnacentral:misc_RNA from 1 species
AAGUCGUAACAAGGUUUCCGUAGGUGAACCUGCGGAAGGAUCAUUAACACAAUUUUACUGUGAUAAAUCCAUUGAGUUAUAGAGUUCUCACUCUUGAUUCAAUGGUAUCCACCCCAUUAUUGACGAACUUUUAAGAUGUUAAAACUAAAAACGUAGAGCUAGUCUUUCUAUUUUUAACAUUCUAAACCUUUUCUAUACCCACACAUUUAAACACCUUUUACAACAUGUCUUAGACUGAAAUGAAAAUUUUCUAUCAAAAAAUUGAUAAAAACAACUUUUAACAACGGAUAUCUUGGCUCUC